GAUGAAUAACGCAGCGAAAUGCGAUAAGUAAUGUGAAUUGCAGAAUUCAGUGAAUCAUCGAAUCUUUGAACGCACAUUGCGCCCGCCAGUAUUCUGGCGGGCAUGCCUGUUCGAGCGUCAUUUCAACCCUCAAGCCCUCGGGUUUGGUGUUGGGGAUCGGCGAGCCUUUCUGGCAAGCCGGCCCCGAAAUCUAGUGGCGGUCUCGCUGCAGCCUCCAUUGCGUAGUAGUAAAACCCUCGCAACUGGAACGCGGCGCGGCCAAGCCGUUAAACCCCCAACUUCUGAAUGUUGACCUCGGAUCAGGUAGGAAUACCCGCUGAACUUAAGCAUAUCAAUAAGCGGAGGA
rnacentral:misc_RNA from 1 species